rnacentral:tRNA from 1 species
GAGGGUGUAGCUCGGGGGUAGAGCACGUGCUUAGCAUGCACGAGGUCCUGGGUUCAUCCCCAGUACCUCCA